CUGUUAUCACACAAGACAUGAAAAAAAAUCAGAACACAAGCACACAUAAAGACAUCAGGCAAAAAGUACUCAAAAUACAUAAAAACCAGCUAACAGAAGAAAUAUAGUCCACACAUUCCAAUUGCGUCUAAAUACUCCCUCCAAACUCAGCAGACUAUCCAAAAGAGGUAGAUAAAUUUUGAUUUUAAUCGGCUUCAUCAACGACCUUUGUUCCCAGGCCUUUAAGACCCUCUGCGGGGAUCUCAGCGACCGUCACCAAAGAGUAGAGCUCUUCCUUAGCAUCCUCCUCCUCAUUCCUCUUGCGGGCAAUCCUCACACGGACGCGCUUUGGCACAUUUCGAAUUCCCCUGCUCCAGAUCUGCUUGUUCAGCUUCACAUCAAUCCUCACAUCAUUAGUCCCCAUUGCCUUCUGUGCGAACUUCUUCAGUUCUUUUAUAGCUUUAGGAGCCAUCUUCUUGAACGUGCAUCCAUGGAGGCGUUUGUGGAGGUUUACGGUGUACUCCCUGGUGACCACCUCCUCCUUCCUCCCCUUGCUACCCUUCUCCACCAUCGUUGCGGGCGGCAGCGGCAGCGGCGGCG
rnacentral:misc_RNA from 1 species